GACGAACGCUGGCGGCGUGCCUAAUACAUGCAAGUCGAACGAACCGCGACUAGGUGCUUGCACUUGGUCAAGGUGAGUGGCGAACGGGUGAGUAACACGUGGGUAACCUACCUCAUAGUGGGGGAUAACAGUCGGAAACGACUGCUAAUACCGCAUAGGACAUGGGAUCACAUGAUUCUGUGAGGAAAGGUGGCGCAAGCUAUCGCUAAGAGAUGGACCCGCGGUGCAUUAGGUAGUUGGUAGGGUAACGGCCUACCAAGGCGAUGAUGCAUAGCCGACCUGAGAGGGUGAUCUGCCACAUUGGGACUGAGACACGGCCCAAACUCCUACGGGAGGCAGCAGUAGGGAAUCUUCCGCAAUGGACGCAAGUCUGACGGAGCAACGCCGCGUGAGUGAAGAAGGUCUUCGGAUCGUAAAGCUCUGUUGUUAGAGAAGAACAGCGCAUAGAGUAACUGUUAUGCGUGUGACGGUAUCUAACCAGAAAGCCACGGCUAACUACGUG
rnacentral:rRNA from 1 species